rnacentral:misc_RNA from 1 species
AACUGAUACUACCUGCGGGAACCUGCGGAAGGAUCAUUAUUGAAUAAACUUGAUGUGGUUUGUAGCUGGCAGUUGAAUUCAAUUGCAUGUGCUCGCCCAUCAUCUUCAUAUUUCCACCUGUGCACUAUUUGUAGACCUGGAACAAUGUUGAAGAGGAUAUUUAGAACAUAGCAAAUGCUAUUCAAGUUCUAAUGCUUCACUUCAUUUUCUUGUCUAUGCUUUUUUAUAUACUCCAAAACA